rnacentral:rRNA from 1 species
CCUAAAUCUUGACAUCCUCUGACCCCUCUAGAGAUAGAGUUUUCCCCUUCGGGGGACAGAGUGACAGGUGGUGCAUGGUUGUCGUCAGCUCGUGUCGUGAGAUGUUGGGUUAAGUCCCGCAACGAGCGCAACCCUUAAGCUUAGUUGCCAUCAUUAAGUUGGGCACUCUAAGUUGACUGCCGGUGACAAACCGGAGGAAGGUGGGGAUGACGUCAAAUCAUCAUGCCCCUUAUGAUUUGGGCUACACACGUGCUACAAUGGACAAUACAAAGGGCAGCGAAACCGCGAGGUCAAGCAAAUCCCAUAAAGUUGUUCUCAGUUCGGAUUGUAGUCUGCAACUCGACUAUAUGAAGCUGGAAUCGCUAGUAAUCGUAGAUCAGCAUGCUACGGUGAAUACGUUCCCGGGUCUUGUACACACCGCCCGUCACACCACGAGAGUUUGUAACACCCGAAGCCGGUGGAGUAACCAUUUGGAGCUAGCCGUCGAAGGUGGGACAAAUGAUUGGGGUGAAGUCGUAACAAGGUAGGCGUAGCGAG